rnacentral:lncRNA from 1 species
GUUCGCUUUGGUAGAAAAAACCAUCUGAACGCGCAUCCCUCUCGCCUUGAUCGCUCUAACUCUAUCUAUGGCGUCGACGACCCCAACAAAAGCGGAGUUGCUGUGGCUGUUUCGAUCGCUGCUGCGUACGGCGAGGCAGUUCUGCGACUACAACGUGAGAGAGUACACCAAGCGCCGCACCAUCGACGCCUUCCGCCACAACAAGUCUCUCUCGAAGCCCUCCCAUCUCUCUUCAGUCUUUUCCGACGGCAAGGCCCAGCUGGACCUCGCUAAAAGGCAAGCACUCGUGUACAAGCUCUAUGCCCCAAAGAUGACUAGCAUCAUGGACCUCAAGCCCACCAUCUGAAAACCAACUCCUCAAACAACAACAAUAAACGAGCUUUGCUACUUGAUUUUUUGUUUGUUUUGUUUGUUUUGUUUACUGGGUUUUUCUUUGCAUUUUGCUUGGUUUCGUUAUGCCUUGUGCAAUGGGGAUUUACAGUGUACCACGAGUAUGGAAAUGAUGAUUUGAUAAUAUAUAUAUAUAUAUAUAUAUGGGUUUUGGAUUUUAUUGAGAAUUUUCUUUCCUUG